UACGAAGGGGGCUAGCGUUGCUCGGAAUUACUGGGCGUAAAGGGCGCGUAGGCGGUUCUCUAAGUCAGGCGUGAAAUUCCUGGGCUUAACCUGGGGGCUGCGCUUGAGACUGUGGGACUUGAGGUCAGAAGAGGGUCGUGGAAUUCCCAGUGUAGAGGUGAAAUUCGUAGAUAUUGGGAAGAGCACCGGUGGCGAAGGCGGCGACCUGGUCUGAUACUGACGCUGAGGCGCGACAGCGUGGGGAGCAAACAGG
rnacentral:rRNA from 1 species